GAACACCUUUCUCACCGUUGGAUCGAUUCUAAUCUAACCGCCCAAAACAUGCUGAUGAGUAAUGGCAUUUUUGUAAUUUAUUGAGUCUUCACCUCUUUCACGUCACUCUCUCUCUCUCUCUCUCAAUUUUUUCAACAGCUUCACUCACUCUCUCUCCUAGACUCUACAAUUUCGCCCAAUUUUUUCCCCAAUUUUUUCAUCAAUUUCGUUAGGAUUCCUGAUAUUUUACAUGAUAUUAGUCGAUUAUCUUCACCGAUUUUUCCAGAUUUUGUGUUGUUUGGGUUAAAUUCAAUGGAAAACCAAGAAGGUGGAACUUAAAGGUAGAAAUGUACUUCUUAAGGAACUCAUAAAUGCAGGUCUUCCAAUCUGCAAAUUCAUAUUGGAAUUAGUGAGUGCAAAUAUUCACAAAACAGAGAAGGUUGGAACUCUGGUCUUUAAUUUAUUAUGUUCUAAAUUAUAACUGCUUAUGUUCUGAUAUUUCUUAUGUUCUAAAACAAGGCUUUAAUCAGAUAUUUUUUCAAGAUAUGAGAAAUUGGUGCAAGGCUAUCUGGGAAAAUUCAAUAGGUGCAAGGCUAUCUGGGAUGUCUACAUUGUGUUUGAUAUGUUCUAAAUCUGUUAACAUCUUAAGUUUAUUUUUUAGAAGGUUGGCUGAUUUAUUAGGAAUCCUUUCUUGGAUUAACUUUUUGUAUUCAAUCUUGCGUUGACCAGAAGUAUUAAUUUAUUAAUGUUUUAUAGGCAACGGAAGUGUGCCUAAACAACUGGUUAUCAAGAAGAUCCUAUGCUUUUUGCUAGAAUGGGAAAAGAUGAUGUUGUUUCCUUCAAAUGGAUUUCAUGAAGCUACAACAUGCCUGCACAGACUAAUUGAACACUGCACAGUUGCUACCACCAACCACCUGAAUUGUACCAGCAUGAACCUGCAGAAACUGCACCAGCAUGAAAUUGCAGAAAUUUUAUAAUAUAAUAUAAUAUGACAUAUGUUCUAGAUCUUAAGCCUCGUGUUCUAAAACGGAAGGCAUAUGUUCUAAAACUCACGACGUAUAUUCUGAACCAUUCUUUGUGUUCUAUACUUAUAACAACAAAAGUUUAUAAGGCAA